CCUACGGGUGGCAGCAGUGGGGAAUAUUGCACAAUGGGCGCAAGCCUGAUGCAGCCAUGCCGCGUGUGUGAAGAAGGCCUUCGGGUUGUAAAGCACUUUCAGCGGGGAGGAAGGCGUUAAGGUUAAUAACCUUGUCGAUUGACGUUACCCGCAGAAGAAGCACCGGCUAACUCCGUGCCAGCAGCCGCGGUAAUACGGAGGGUGCAAGCGUUAAUCGGAAUUACUGGGCGUAAAGCGCACGCAGGCGGUCUGUCAAGUCGGAUGUGAAAUCCCCGGGCUCAACCUGGGAACUGCAUUCGAAACUGGCAGGCUAGAGUCUGGUAGAGGGGGGUAGAAUUCCAGGUGUAGCGGUGAAAUGCGUAGAGAGCUGGAGGAAUACCGGUGGCGAAGGCGGCCCCCUGGACAAAGACUGACGCUCAGGUGCGAAAGCGUGGGGAGCAAACAGGAUUAGAUACCCUUGUAGUC
rnacentral:rRNA from 1 species